GAUGAAGAACGUAGCGAAAUGCGAUAAGUAAUGUGAAUUGCAGAAUUCAGUGAAUCAUCGAGUCUUUGAACGCACAUUGCGCCCCCUGGUAUUCCGGGGGGCAUGCCUGUCCGAGCGUCAUUGCUGCCCUCAAGCACGGCUUGUGUGUUGGGCCCCCGUCCCCGGUUUCCCCCGGGGACGGGCCCGAAAGGCAGCGGCGGCACCGCGUCCGGUCCUCGAGCGUAUGGGGCUUUGUCACCCGCUCUGUAGGCCCGGCCGGCGCCAGCCGACACCCAACUCUAUUUCUAAGGUUGACCUCGGAUCAGGUAGGGAUACCCGCUGAACUUAAGCAUAUCAAUAAGCGGAGGA
rnacentral:misc_RNA from 1 species